CUCACAACCGCCACUCGACUGCCAGGGAGGCGGCGACAGGAACCGGAACUACUCACCAGGGACCGGCCCUCAACCCUCCUCUUUUCGAUGGGCACCGCCCCGCGUCCCUAACCACCCAAUGGUGGAAUGAGCUGAUCACAAUAAACAAUCUUGAAUCAUAUUCCUGCCUGCUGGAGGAUGGUGCCAGAGUCUCAGGGUUCGGGCGAGCUUUGAUCAGUGGUUUGUGGAUUGAUUCUGUAGUUCAUGUUGCUAUUUUGUCCAAUUUUGAUUGAGGCGGACUGGCUCUGCAAACUGCAGUCAACCAAUGACACAGCACAAAAUUGAACUGAACUAAACAUUCCUAGACCAUUUUAAGGACUCGGUGGUUUGAUGAUUGUAGUUUGAUGUUUUUGAAUUAUUUUUUUUCCAUUUGCACGAUUUGUUCCUUAUUUGGACAUUAGGUGUUUUUGUUGAAUGUGUUCCAUAGCGUUUCUCUGUUUUGUGGCUGUCUGUGGGAAGAUGAAUCUCAGAGUUGUGUACUGCAUAUGUACUUUGAUAAUAAAUGUACUUUGAGUAAAGAUCAGGUAAAAUCAAAGCUGAGUUUAUUGACAUAUGCACUGGUACAAGUGUAUCACUCUCUGUGCCCCUUCCUUGUCCACUCAACCCUCCCCACUGAUCUCCCUUUUGGCACCUAUCCAUGUCGGCUGGCUGGCUGCAUCAACGCUCAAACCUCACAGGGUCUUACUUCCUCCAGAACAGCUGCGGCAAGACAAGUUCUACGCCUGCCCCUACAUCUCCUCCCUCAACACCAUUCAGGGCCCCAGCACAGUCCCUCCAGCUGAGGCGACACCUGUGAGUCUGUUGGGGUCAUCUAUUGUAUCUGUUUUCCUCUUCACUAUCUCCUCUCUUUCACCUCCCCGGACCUCAGAAUCCUCCCAUCACUCGCCCUGGUGCCCCUCCCUCAUGGCCCACUGUUCUCUCCUAUCAGAUUUCUUUUCAUUACCCACCUAUCACCUAUCUUCUUCUCUUACUCCCUCCUCUCCAGUCCUGAUGAAGGACAAAACACCGACUUUUAUUCCUCUCCACUGAUGCUGCCUGACCUGCUGAGUCUCUCCAGCAUUUUGUGUGUGUUGCUCUGGAUUUCCAGCAUCUGCAGAAUCUCUUGUGCCUUCUGUCUGAAUGGUGAGACACCCUGCCGGCCUCAGUAUCUUCUGUUGUGCACUGUGCAGACUUGGUCAAUGAAAAUAUUAAAAGAUUAGCUUGUACAUCGAUGGAUCGGAGCACCGACCGACACGGUCUGAGGAUGUACAAGCAUCGCUAUGCGCCUGGCGUGUCCACGAGUUACUAACCCUAACCAGUACCUGUUCAGAAUGUGGGUGGAAACCGCAGUACUGGAUGAAACCCACGUGGUUAUGAGGAGAGUGUACAACUCGUUAUAGACUGAGGCGGAAUUGAAUACUGGUUGUUGUCCCUGCAAGUAGCGUAGUGCAAUUCCUCUGUGCUGGCACGGGUCCGGGGGGACAAGCCUUGACCGCGCCAGUGUCUCCUCGGAGAAAGGGUCUGAGUGUGGUCCGUGUCUCCCCGGACAGCGGGACUGGGCACUAGGCCGCCUGCUAUGGGGGAAACCCUGAGAUACACGGAGCAGUUCACAGGCAGGUCGCUACUGGCGGGAGUUAACUUCAGAACAUCACUCCACGUCACUGUGACCCUUCGGCUUAUGUACCCCGCUUUCACGACACGGCUCGCUGACAGGCAGGCGAUGGGCGUGGACGUACUUAAGUGUUUCCCCUGGUACAACAGGCGCAGGGAGCGCGGCAAGUUGGCCAAGAGGCAGAGGCCGGAAGGUCCUGUAUCCCCACUGGAGUCAGUGCACCCGAUCAAGCCAGGGGCUGGCGGCCGCAAUCUUGGUUACGGUGCUUACUUCAGCGAGAAAGCAAGAGUUUCCUUCCGACACGAGCUGGACUCGCCCACCUCGGCCAUAAAC